GCCUGGGUGGCUCAGUCGGUUAAGCGUCCGACUUCAGCUCAGGUCAUGAUGUCACGGUUCGUGGGUUCGAGCCCCGCGUCGGGCU
rnacentral:tRNA from 1 species